GCACUCACUCCAACACCACAGAUACUAAAAUUGGAACUAUACAAAGAAGAUAAAGCAUGGCCCCUUGCAAAGAUGAUGCGCGAAUUCAUGAAGCACUUCAUAUUUUU